UUCUUUCUAUUGAGCAUGAAAAUGCUUUUGUGGAGAUCGUAGAGAUCACCGAUGUGCGUGACUCUCUGGUGGAGUUUACUGCCACCUUAGAGCUGCCCGACCACCUGGCACAGCCAUCGUUCAUAGGUAAGUGUGAUUGAUACUAAAAAGCACAUUUUAAUUAGAGUUGCACAUCUGGGAAACCAAUUUCAGUUCUGAUAAGGACCCCACUGCCAGAUAAUAAUGACAUCUGUUGUGUUUUUAUUCUUGUAGAAUCUCUACUUCCUGCUGGGUAUGAAGAGGACCCUGGCUCUUCCCACAACAUCGGAGGGGCCAUUCCUCUUCAUGAGCCUGAGGGCUCGGAGCCAGCAGAGACUAUCCCCAGGGAUACAGCCAGCCCCACCAAUUUCAACUGGCUUUCAUUCGUAAGUACAUUGUAUGGGUGUGAAAUAUAUACAAACACACACAUGUAAUUGUUGGAUUCUUACUAUGCUUUACCUCUGUAGGAUGCCAAGGUGGAGGUCCCUGGGGUAGUUAUUACUUCAGAGGCCCUGGUGAAGAUUUGCGUGAAAGCAAAUAAAUAUGUACCACCAUAUGAACCACCAGCGAUGCCAUUUUUAUUGGGUAAGUUGGAUGAUACACUGACUUCUUAAAAUUUAUUAAUUUAAUUAAUUAAUUAAUUUAUGGUUAAUAAUAUUAUUCAUAGUGCAUUUAUGUGAAUUGUAUGGACAUUUAUGUUUCAUUCCAAUAGGAUACUUAUAUAUUUAAAUAGGAGAGUAUUUAUACUUUUUAUAAAGUUUAGGUCUAAUAUUGUAAUAUUAUAAUAAACUGUGUAUCAUCAUGUUGAGACUAUAUUGUUCCAUUUCUGCUUCCGUUUCAGAAGCUCCUGAUUGUGAUGCUGGCACGUCCAAUAACAGCGGACACAUUGUUCCCAAUCAGGAGCAACAGUCUGAGCCAAAGGAAGAUAAUUCCACCUCUUCCAGUCUUCCAUCAGAAGUAAGUAGAUUCUACAGAUAUUAUUCUUUAUUCUUUGCUUCAGGGUUCUCAUUCAUUCUCAGUGCUGCACAUAUGAAAUUCAUGCAAUGUUUAUUCUGCGCAUAAUACUCAUUUGUCCUUUGUUUGCAGCUCAACAUCUCUGAAUUUGGCUCAGAUAUUGCCAAUAAAAUACAGGGCGCAGAAGGACCAUCUACCAGGUAUCUGAUUUGGGGCAUAUUCUCUUGUUUUGGUUUAGAAUUGUAACUUGCUUAUAUAUCAAAAUAUUAAUAUUGCCUAAUUUGCACUGUUUGUAAAGCUUAAUUCUAUUAUAGUUCCCUUCUCAUUAGAGGGUAAGAACAGUAACUGGCCAAUACCCUCUUGUGAUUGGAUGCUACAAAAAGUCACCAAAUAAACUGUAUAUUAGAUUAUUCUUGUCUGUAAACAUGAACAAAACAUAUAUUACAUUUUCUUUAUUUUAUUUUUCAGCCCUGUUGAGCCCGGAUCUCCCUCACUUGAUCAAUUCAACCUGGGUCAAGUGUUGGGAGAAGGAGGAUUCGGGAAGGUAUUCCUAGCCGAGCACAAGAACACCGAAGUGCUAUAUGCCAUCAAGGCCCUAAAAAAAGAACACGUUUUGGAAAAGGGCAAUUUGGACAGGUCAGUGAUAGGGGAGAGAUUAAUAUUGGCCAUAUCUGUGUCAUCUUUUCUUGUUAUAUUCAGCUUUAUAUGUAGGACAGUUUUCUCUUUUUAUACUUAGUAUCUGUUUUUCCUCACAUUCCUUUAAAUCAUUUGCAUUUGGUUAUUAUCUGCUGUAUUGCCCUGUGUCUGUUCAUAAAGAUGUGGUGAUAAUGGGAUGAUUUUCCCCACAGUGUCUUCCAUGAGAAGGAAAUCCUCCAGAGGGUAAGUUCUGCUAACCAUCCGUUCCUGGUGUCAUUACAUGGAACCUUCCAGACGGCGUCCCACCUGUUCUACGUCAUGGAAUAUCUACCUGGAGGUGACAUGUUUGACUUUAUAAGAUCAGUGGAACUUGAAGAACCUGACGUCAUGUAAGUAGAAUGGGAAUCACCUUAAUUCUCGCACAAAUCAGCUUAUAUAUAUAAAAAA